UUCUUCGACAUACAGCAAGGAUAUAUGUUGCAGAAGCUGGGCGUGAAACCAACAGACGUGAAACAGGGACGAUGACGCCGGUGGCUCUGCAGUGUCCUAAACUACAACUGUCCGCUGAUCGAGCCAACACAAGAUGGUGCCACGUAACUACAGGCGGUGAGCUGGUGAACUCGCCGCCCGCCACACAACACAGACACAGCGGCAGGUUACGGAAAUAUGAGGGUACAUGUGCCUCCACCCCCAUCCCCCUUCCUCUAUCCCCCUCUACUGUCACCCCUGUCCCACACACACCACGAUACUGGGAGACACACUCUAGGGUGGGUGUGGUGUAUGGAAGGUUGGGGGGGUUGUCCUGGAGAUGGGUGUAGGAGAGGAGAGCCAGGUAGACAGUGGGACGUAUGUUUGUGACCAGCGCCGCUCCUGGUGUGUCUGUGUAUGGAGCUGUGAGCACACACGAGGGGAGUCUCUGUACCAACGUGUGGCAGCAGGGGAAGUCUGGGGAGAAGUGUUACAGUAACACAAUGUCUGCCACACCCGGCACACAGGCCACCCUCCACUAUGGCGUUGUGCUGGAUGUGGGAGGGGAGACUCGCCUUCAUAGACCUCAACAGAGAGGUUGUUUUAGCCAAGGUGGAUGUUGAGUGGAGCGAGUCUCUUCUUCCCAUGUUUGGUGUUGGGUGGCCAGGUGCCUACACAGUCAACAUGAAGGUGAUAAGUGGGGCAGAUAUCACCAUGACUGACACCAAGAAGUCACUUAUUUAUGACGCCUUGAAUUAGAGAAUAAAAUAAACAUGACAUUGUGUAAACUUGUAAGUGUGACAUAUUUAUUUAAACUGUCAAAUGUAAUUGUAGUGAUUGAGGCGGACGUAUAAGUUGUCUGUCUAUAUGCUGUUUGAUGUGUACAAGAAUGUAACGAGGUCAGCUAAAUGUGUUGUUUUUCUACUUGACUGGAUUCAGGGGAUGUUACAAACAUUUUACAUCCACACAUGACUAUUGUUAUGAUUAUUAUUCUGCAGUAGUUGACCAGUUUAUCAUACAUUUCAUACAUGUCUGGGAAAUGUCACAACAAAUAACUGAAUCCACAGUUCAUCAAAAGUUGUUUCAAAUCAUGAAUUUAUUGCCAUGUUUAGUUUCUACUCUGUAAUGUAAAUGUUUUAAAUCCCCAAAUGAACAGCUGUGAUGAAAUUAUUGUAGUUGUGAAUCCACAUACGUCACAUUUGAUGUCAGUGAAGAGAUGUGGUGAAAGUGAUAGAAGCGGACAUAGAAUGUCCCCGUGUACAUAGCGAGACGCAUAUUCCGAAAUACAAUCAAGUUCGCAGAAUCUUUGGUUUCCCUGAUUAGAUAGGUUUUAAAGUAAGUAAGAAGUGUUUAAAUCUACUAUUAAACAACUUCCGGAUUAAGUUAAGCAGAAAUGGCAGAUUUUAAAUGUCUGUUCUAACACUAUGUACAGGUACGGAACUGAAUAACGAACCAAAUCACAUUAUUUUCUAGAAUUUAUUCUGCAGCGUGGAACAAAUGCACUAUCCACUUAAAACAAGAGCAAGUAUAAACAGUUAUAUCAACGACAUCAGAGCUUAACAUUCACUAUAUAUAUCUCUCCGAUUUGAUUGUGGGGCGGUUCGGUUGUUAAAGCGUCUGUUCAUCACUCUGAAGACACGGGUUCGACUCCCCUCAUGGAUACAAUGUGUGGAACCCAUUUCUGGUGUUCCCCGCCUUGAUAUUGCUGGAAUAUUGCUUAAAGCAGGUAAAACCAUACUCACUCACUCACUCACUCACUCACUUGAUUGUGAGGACAUUAGGCUGUUUCGAAGCACUGCGUUCAAAGGGAAGUAACUCUGUGCGGGAAGCUGCGACAGAACCUGUUUCCACGUGUCUCGUCUCUCGAUGCUCAUGCUGUUGAUUACUGGAUUGUCUGGUCCAGACUCGAUUAUUUAAAGACCGCCGCUAUAGAGCUGGAAACAUACUCACUCACUCACCCACCAACUCUCACUCACCUCACCACUCACCCACCCAACCAACCAACCACCAUCCAUCCACUCACUCACUCUCUCACUCACUCACUCGAUUGGGAAGGCCUAUAGACUGUUUCUGUUUUAACGGAUUAUGUUCCAUGAGAUACACAUUAAGCAAGGCCCCGGAAAGAACACAUUGAUUUAAAUAAAUACCAAUGAGAGAAUAUAUGAUAAUCAUGGAAAGAUUUUAACCACUGAAGCGUAAUUCAGAUUUCAUGGAUACGAACAUCAUGUACAUUUAUUACAUUUUGUUUUGUGCUUUUCUCACGAAAUAAAUAUACUCAGCA